rnacentral:rRNA from 1 species
AGGGAAUCUUCCACAAUGGGCGAAAGCCUGAUGGAGCAACGCCGCGUGGGUGAAGAAGGUCUUCGGAUCGUAAAACCCUCGUGGUAGAGAAGAAAGUGCAUGAGAGUAACUGUUCAUGUNUCGACGGUAUCUGACCAGAAAGCCACGGCUAACUACGUGCCAGGAGCCGCGGUAAUACGUAGGUGGCAAGCGUUAUCCGGAUUUAUUGGGCGUAAAGGGAACGCAGGCGGUCUUUUAAGUCUGAUGUGAAAGCCUUCGGCUUAACCGGAGUAGUGCAUUGGAAACUGGGAGACUUGAGUGCAGAAGAGGAGAGUGGAACUCCAUGUGUAGCGGUGAAAUGCGUAGAUAUAUGGAAGAACACCAGUGGCGAAAGCGGCUCUCUGGUCUGUAACUGACGCUGAGGUUCGAAAGCGUGGGUAGCAAACAGG